GAGGUUAAGCGCGGAAAAUAUCCCACAAGAAGAAGAGUACACUAGACAGAAUCUGCAAGCAGAAAGAGUAGAAUAGUAUCGUAAAGUUGCAAUGCUGUUAACGGCGAAACCCACACAACUACAACUAUGGUUACCGUUUAAACCUUCAACACUUCCUAAUCCAACUAACUUCAACAUCACAAGAAGGAGAAUCGUUCUCAACAACAAUAACGAUAACAACAACGAUAACAACUCCUCUUCUUCUUAUCAACAAUCGGUACUUAAAAAGAAAAACCGAUAUCGGAAACUUUACCCCGGAGAAUCCACCGGAAUCACUGAAGAGAUGAGAUUCGUUGCUAUGCGACUCCGCAACGACAAAAUCACCACCAAUUACGUAGUAGAAGACGGCCAAGAACAACUUCCUGACACGUGGCAGCCUUCUAUGGUAGGCUUUAUCCGAUUCUUGGUUGAUAAUCAACUCGUUUUCACCACACUCGAACGUCUCAUUGAUGAUUCCGAUAACGUUUCAUUUGCGUACUUGAGGAAAACUGGAUUGGAAAGAUCUGAAGGGAUUUUGAAGGAUAUAGAAUGGUUGAAGCAAGAAGGUGUUGAGAUCCCCAAUCCAAGUACUCGUGGGAUUGCAUAUGCGAAAUAUUUGGAGGAGCUUGCCGAAAAAAGUCCGCCUUUGUUUCUCUCCCAUUUCUACAAUAUCCAUUUUUCUCAUAUAUCUGCUAGCCAGGUUAUUGUAAAGCAGGUUUCUGAAAAGCUCCUGAAAGGUAAGGAGCUGGAGAUCUGCAAAUGGGAAGGAGAUGUACAGGAAAUGCUGAAAGAUGUACGCGAGAAGCUUAAUGUGCUUUCAGAGCAUUGGUCUCGGGAGGAAAAAAAUAAAUGUUUAAGAGAAACAAAAAAGUCAUUUCAGUAUAUGGGACAGAUUGUUCGUCUGAUAAUCUUAUGAAGAGACUGGCUGGCUCUCUGUUUUCUUUUUUUGUUAAUAGCACUGACUUUUUUAUGCAUUUCAUUGCAACUUCAAUUAUAAAUUGUGUGGUGGUUCAAUUGGACUAUUAAUUCAGCCUAAGUGGUCGACUGUUACUAUGUAGGAUAGUGGGCAGUUCGAGGGCGUUAACUGUAGCUUGGCAGCCUUUUUUGUUGCAGCAAAUAUUACUGUCGUCACGCCUCGCAUUUAUGGUGAUUUUAAUGUUUUUUCCAAAGCUAUCUGUUAUGGAUUUGCCAAUCCUCAUUGAUAUGGACUUUAAGUCUUUAACUGUAUAGCCAGCCAGUGGAUAAGAUAAGACAAUUUUUUCCAAUAGAGAUGUUUCAGCAUUACUUAAGAUUUUUAAUUUCUCGUCCACACUAUUUCUGAUACACGAUUGGUUAGGUGCAUAAGCAUUAAGCACUCACUCAUCAGCUUGUGUUUUUUAUUAUUAAAUCCAGUUGAUAUCUUCUCUUGACUCAUAACAGGGUGACUUUUUCCACUGUUUUUCUGUUUCCUAUCAUGGAGUCGAAUGGAAUCUAUUAAGUUUA